rnacentral:rRNA from 1 species
ACGGUGAAUACGUUCCCGGGCCUUGUACACACCGCCCGUCACACCAUGGGAGUGGGUUGCAAAAGAAGUAGGUAGCUUAACCUUCGGGAGGGCGCUUACCACUUUGUGAUUCAUGACUGGGGUGAAGAGGAUGGAUCUAUCGCUAACUCCGGU